rnacentral:rRNA from 1 species
UACGGGGGGUGCGAGCGUUGUCCGGAAUCACUGGGCGUAAAGGGCGCGUAGGUGGUUUGAUAAGGGUGUGGUGAAAGCCCGGGGCUCAACCCCGGGUCUGCCGUGCCGACUGUCAAACUCGAGGGCUGUAGAGGCAGACGGAAUUCCGGGUGUAGUGGUGAAAUGCGUAGAGAUCCGGAGGAACACCAGUGGCGAAGGCGACACGCUGGGCCGUACCUGACACUGAUGCGCGACAGCAUGGGGAGCAAACAGG